UACGUAGGUGGCGAGCGUUGUCCGGAAUCAUUGGGCGUAAAGGGCGCGUAGGUGGCCCGGUCAGUUCGUGGUGAAAGCGCGGGGCUCAACCCUGCGUCGGCCAUGAAUACUGCCGCGGCUGGAGCACUGUAGAGGCAGGCGGAAUUCCGGGUGUAGCGGUGGAAUGCGUAGAGAUCCGGAAGAACACCGGUGGCGAAGGCGGCCUGCUGGGCAGUUGCUGACACUGAGGCGCGACAGCGUGGGGAGCAAACAGG
rnacentral:rRNA from 1 species